UAUGAAAUGUUUAUGAAAUGAAAUGAUUGACUGCCAAAAAUGUUUAUGUUUUUAUAUGUAUCCUAUCUGUGUUGGUUCGCCAACUUUAAAGGAAAUCCAAUUGGGAUCCUAUGCUAGACAAAGGUCGCUAGCUAGGGUUAACGUGUACACUCAUGGAGACCGCGAGUCGCUUGCGACCGGUCUUGGCGUCCGUGGUAAGGAGGCCUCCUUCCCGGCGCGUGACAGAAAGGAACAGAUAUGGAUCAUAUGAAGGAAAAUGAUCGGCCGAUCGACUUUAUGAAAAUGAAAGAAAUAUUUUAGUAAGCGCAGGUUGAGCAGUUGAUGGAAUGGAAUGAUGUUGAGCGAGUGUUCCUUUGACAUUUCAAGAAAUGUAACCUUGAGUAUACAUCUUCAUAUGUAUAUCUCACACGUUUUCCGCUGCAAAACACUUUGAUUAGGAUAGCUCUAUGUUAUGAAGUUGUUAUACGUGUUAUUGGGUAACCCACCUUAAUCAGUUCUCAUUUAUGUGUAUGUUUUAUAAGUAUCCAAAUAAUCAUAUAUAAUCCUAGCAUUUUAUCUAUGAGUGACAUUUCCAUAUACUUUAAUGUUAAGUAAUUGUCCAUUUCCA